rnacentral:rRNA from 1 species
UCCAGACUCCUACGGGAGGCAGCAGUGAGGAAUAUUGGUCAAUGGGCGAGAGCUUGAACCAGCCAAGUAGCGUGCAGGAUGACGGCCCUAUGGGUUGUAAACUGCUUUUAUAAGGGAAUAAAGUGAGCCUCGUGAGGCUUUUGCAUGUACCUUAUGAAUAAGGACCGGCUAAUUCCGUGC